AGCAGCCGCGGUAAUUCCAGCUCCAAUAGCGUAUAUUAGUGUUGUUGCGGUUAAAAAGCUCGUAGUUGAAUUUCGGGAUUGGGAUAUAUCGGUAGUGCCUUUAGGGGCAUGAAACGGUGUGUAGCCAAUUUCUCACCUUCUGGUGAGUCGGGAUGCUCUUGGGUGUUUCGAUGAAUCAGGACCUUUACUUUGAAAAAAUUAGAGUGUUUAAAGCGGGCAUUUUUGCUUGAAUACAUUAGCAUGGAAUAAUAAAAUAGGACGAUGGUUUUAUUUUGUUGGUUUUAGGGCCACGUAAUGAUUAAUAGGGAUAGUUGGGGGCAUUAGUAUUCAAUUGUCAGAGGUGAAAUUCUUGGAUUUAUUGAGGACUAACUACUGCGAAAGCAUUUGCCAAGGAUGUUUUCAUUAAUCAAGAACGAAAGUUAGGGGAUCAAAGACGAUUUAUGUACGUCGUAGUCUUAACCAUAAACUAUGCCGACUAGGAAUCAGACAAAGUUCAUUUUUUAACGACUUGUUUGGUACCUUACG
rnacentral:rRNA from 1 species